ACAGCAUUUCCUAUAGCAGAAACAUCCCAUCCAACUCCUCUUACUUUUUUAACAUUGCUCAUGGCAGUUCUUCUGUUACCAGCACACUGUAGAGUGGCAGUAACAACAUAUUUUGGAAGCUUCCAAAUAUCUUUCAUAAGCAGUUCUAUGGGGUUAUCUAUCAGACCACUAACGGAAACAGAAUAUCUUUCUAUAUCAUCAACUACAGGUAUGGGUCCAUGAUUUCUCUUGUAGAAGAAAUCCACUGGCGUUACAUAAGAGCUAACCAGGGCCGAACGAGGUGGCUCAGCAUUAAAAGGUUGCUUGGAAUUGAUUUUGAGCGAAGGGUGACGAGGAGGUUCCUGCGAAUAAUCCGAGGGUCCUCUAAUUCCCGGCAUUCGUCAAAAGCUUAUCUUAAUUAUCUCUAGGUGUCUGUAACGAUUCCUGAUAACUAUUCACAGCCGAAUCAAGCACCGUUCAUCUACAGCGGAUUUGGGAUCACUAGUCAC
rnacentral:misc_RNA from 1 species